CCAGCCCAACACCGGUAGGGUGGCAGGGGCCGCAGCUAUGCUGUUUGCCUCUCCCAUCAGCUCCCCAGGCAACUGGAAACACCGCCUGAUCCUCAGCGUGGGAAGAUCUGAGACGCAAGAUUACUGGAGAAGGAACUACAACCAGACAACAACGUCUGCCCCGGCUACUGCCGUGCUAAAACGCGCUCUGCUCUCCACAGCGCGUGGAUCUGGAGGUAACAUCUCUUGGAGGACAAUGGGUGAGGAGGAGUGUCUGCGGGACAGGCUGACACGGACGAUACCGGACCGGACCCCGGCCGGCAGGGAGCGGGCGGUGGGUGUGGAUGUGGAUGAGCGCAGACGGCCCGCGGGAGCCGCUCAGCCGGAACCACCGGGGGGGACACGGAGGCAUCUCCCCGCUACAGGGGACUUCCUGACGGCCAAAAAUACGCAGAAACGCCCCCAAGCCCUAAAAGAGCCAACAACAAGGCAGGAUUUACCCUCGCUUAUACGGCACGAUUUCAAGGCCGGUGUCCGGCGGGACUCCAGAUGCUCAGCCACAGAGUUAUUGGAGUAUGAAACAUUAGGACAGCAAGCAGCAAACAUGGCACCUGCAGUACCCGAAAACGCUCCCUGUAGGCAUCUGUACUUCCAACAUCUCUGUUGUUGCAUGUGAGUGUAUCCAGGAAACUCCCAAAAUGCUGCACACCAGUACGGUAGACAUAACCCACAGACUCACACCAGUCUAAGCAGACCAUCAAAAAACAUCAGAAAUGUUUCAACUUAACCAGCUAACUCCCAGAAGAAGCUCCAGGACUCAAUAUGAAUCCCUACAAGCACUCAAGUACUUUGGGUAUCUUGAUGGCCAACAUGAGUUCAUGAGAACCCCAGGUUACUGAGGGAGGAACCAUCUUCACUUGGCCAUAAGAAAUACUGGGGAUUGGGAAGCCUAAAUUCCCAGUACAGGGACUGGAUGAACCAUCAGCUUACCUUUGCACAGAACCAUCUGUUUCUCCAUGCUGGUGUCUGCAUUGGCAAGGGCUGUGGACUGUACAGCACUGAACAGGGUUAGGCAUUUACAUGCAUAGUGAAAACAUAUCAGAGCAUUAAAAAAUGUGUAUGAUAAAUACAAAUCUUUGUGCUUGAAGGUAUGAGUGAUAAGGAUAGAAAGACUAUUAUUGCUAGUAGAGAUUUCAGUUCUCCAAACCAUCUGUUUUUGAUGAUUGUUAGAAGCAAGAUACAAGACUUACAUCAAACACAGUUUCAAACUGGUCCAGCACUGCUCAGUUCCUCAGAUCCUGGAGUCUCUAUCCCCAAAAAGUAAAAGAAAACCUUAAUA